CUUUGCAAGACUAUUGUUCCUAUAAGCAACAUGGACCAAACGGAUCCAAAUGGAAGCGUACAGACAAUUCACAGUGAAUGCCACCCCCUGUCGGACAAGUACAGGGGGGAAUCCACAGACCGUAAAUAAAAACUUCCUGCAUUACUUGUUAUCCAUUAAGUCCUAGAAUAUAACAAAAUUGCUCAUAUUAGGUGGUGUAAGUUUCAAAAAUAAUUUCCCACAAUUCAUACCGCUUUCCCCAUAAAGGGUUUAGCCAAAAAUUAUACAUAGCUGAUUUGAACACCCAACAAUUUGCACUUCAAUAAAUAACCAUGAGAAUAUUAAUGGAAAACUGCCUAUAGAUUAAAUUGGAAAGUCACAAAUUCCAGGGCAGUCAAAAGAUACAUUUAAGACACUCACUGCAAAACUAGAAUAUUAAUUUCUUGGUGCCUCACUAUUUCCCAUCAGCUUUUAUAAUCAAAAAUGCAUCGUCUAUGAAGUAUAAAGAUAUACAAUGCUGAAAACCCCCAAGUAACAAAUAUGCUUUGAUUGGGGAGGCUUUUAAAAGACGUAACCAUUCUUUACAUAUGUUUCUGAAGAACCCGAGUUUAAG